rnacentral:rRNA from 1 species
AUUGAACGCUGGCGGCAUGCCUUACACAUGCAAGUCGAACGGCAGCACGGGGCAACCUGGUGGCGAGUGGCGAACGGGUGAGUAAUGCAUCGGAACGUACCUUUCAGUGGGGGAUAACGUAGCGAAAGUUACGCUAAUACCGCAUAUUCUGUGAGCAGGAAAGCAGGGGAUCGCAAGACCUUGCGCUGAUUGAGCGGCCGAUGUCAGAUUAGCUAGUUGGUGAGGUAAAGGCUAACCAAGGCGACGAGCUGUAGCGGGUCUGGGAGGAUGAUCCGCCACACUGUAACUGAGACACGGUCCAGACUCCUACGGGAGGCAGCAGUGGGGAAUUUUGGACAAUGGGGGCAACCCUGAUCCAGCCAUGCCGCGUGAGUGAAGAAGGCCUUCGGGUUGUAAAGCUCUUUCGGCCGGGAAGAAAUCGCACGGGCUAAUACCCUGUGUGGAUGACGGUACCGUAAGAAUAAGCACCGGCUAACUACGUGCCAGCCGCCGCGGUAACAC